GACGAACGCUGGCGGCGCGCUUAACACAUGCAAGUCGAGCGAUGAAAUUUCGACAGAUCCCUUCGGGGUGAAGAUGAAAUGGAUUAGCGGCGGACGGGUGAGUAACACGUGAGUAACCUGCCUUAGACAUUGGGAUAGCCUCGGGAAACCGAGAUUAAUACCAAAUGAAAUCACAUAUGCACAUGCAUAAAUGAUCAAAGCUCCGGCGGUCUAAGAUGGACUCGCGUCCCAUUAGCUAGUUGGUGAGGUAACGGCCCACCAAGGCGACGAUGGGUAGCCGGCCUGAGAGGGUGAACGGCCACAUUGGAACUGAGAAACGGUCCAAACUCCUACGGGAGGCAGCAGUGGGGAAUAUUGCACAAUGGAGGGAACUCUGAUGCAGCGACGCCGCGUGAACGAAGAAGGCUUUCGAGUCGUAAAGUUCUUUUAUAUGGGAAGAUAAUGACGGUACCAUAAGAAAAAGCCCCGGCUAACUACGUGCCAGCAGCCGCGGUAAUACGUAGGGGGCUAGCGUUGUCCGGAAUCACUGGGCGUAAAGGGUUCGCAGGCGGAAAUGCAAGUCAGGUGUAAAAGGCAGUAGCUUAACUACUGUAAGCAUUUGAAACUGCAUAUCUUGAGAAGAGUAGAGGUAAGUGGAAUUUUUAGUGUAGCGGUGAAAUGCGUAGAUAUUAAAAAGAAUACCGGUGGCGAAGGCGACUUACUGGGCUCAUUCUGACGCUGAGGAACGAAAGCGUGGGUAGCAAACAGG
rnacentral:rRNA from 1 species